rnacentral:rRNA from 1 species
GGGAGAGUUUGAUCCUGGCUCAGGAUGAACGCUAGCGGUGUGCUUAAAGCAUGCAAGUCGAACGUGAUCCUUGGAUUCGUUCAAGGUGUAAGUGGCGAACGGGUGAGUAACGCGUUGGUGAUCUGCCCCGGAGUGGGGGAUAACUAUCGGAAACGAUAGCUAAUACCCCAGAUGUUAUCGUAUUUGGAAAGCGAUGACUAAAGUUCAGGCGCUCCGGGAGGAGCCUGCGUCCCAUCAGCUAGUUGGUAGGGUAAUGGCCUACCAAGGCAAAGACGGGUAGGGGGCGUGAGAGCGUGGCCCCCCACACUGGUACUGACACGGGGACCAGAUGCCUACGGGUAGCAGCAGCUAGGAAUAUUGGGCAAUGGGCGAAAGCCUGACCCAGCAACACCGCGUGAAGGACGAAGGCCUUCGGGUUGUAAACUUCUUUUCGAGGGAAAGAGAAAGGACGGUACCCUCGGAAUAAGGCCCGGCUAACUACGUGCCAGCAGCCGCGGUAA